rnacentral:rRNA from 1 species
AUUGAACGCUGGCGGCAGGCCUAACACAUGCAAGUCGAACGCGUGGCGGACGGGUGAGUAGUGUCUGGGAAACUGCCUGAUGGAGGGGGAUAACUACUGGAAACGGUCGCUAAUACCGCAUACCAUCGGAUGUGCCCAAAUGGGAUUAGCUAGUAGGUGGGGUAACGGCUCACCUAGGCGACGAUCCCUAGCUGGUCUGAGAGGAUGACCAGCCACACUGGAACUGAGACACGGUCCAGACUCCUACGGGAGGCAGCAGUGGGGAAUAUUGCACAAUGGGCGCAAGCCUGAUGCAGCCAUGCCGCGUGUAUGAAGAAGGCCUUAGGGUUGUAAAGUACUUUCAGCGGGGAGGCGUUACCCACAGAAGAAGCACCGGCUAACUCCGUGCCAGCAGCCGCGGUAAUAC